AGAUCUCCCACAGGUAUUGCCUUCACCCCAAUAGUCCAAUAGCAAACUUGUAAGUCACUGUUCAGGUUGGCUGUGAAACCCUGUCACUGAACUGGCAUGGGAAGUUCUCGCGCCAACAGGGUGAGGAGCCUUCUUUGCCAUCUGCUCAGCAAUUGACAGUUUGAAUGGCCUGGAAUGAGCUCAGCUCCACAGAGCCAGCUUGUGUCAGGGCUGAGCCUGAGCCCAGAUCUUCUUGAAUUGGAGGCAGCUCUCUGCCUGUGAUGCCACCCUUAUCAAAGGUAAGAAAAAAGGUAAUGCGAGAUGGAAGGGGACAGAGGCAAAGGAAAUCGUGAAACAAACUGAUCUCGGUGCCCGUUUUCUCAUCAGUCAAUGGAUUGAAGUUGAAGACUCGAGCUGCUAUCUGGGGUGAAGGAGAUGUUGGAGAUGAGUGUGACUCAGGGGGCAAUGGAGCCCUGUUAUGUCAGAACCCCCCAAAUCAAGAUUACAUGAGGUGGAUGGGGGGCAAGCUUGUAAAAGAGUGGUAG
rnacentral:lncRNA from 1 species